AAAAAAAAAAAAAAAGCGGAAAGGGAAAAGAAAAGAUGCGGCUGAGCUCAUUCAAAGUUUGCUAGGUCGUAUCGAGACAAAGCUGAUCCUACACUGCUUUUUGGAAAAAGAAAAUUGAAAUUACACUACUAAUGACGUCUGUCAUUACGAUAUUAAAAAAAAUAAUUUAAAAUUUCUGAUUUGGCCUCCACAUGUAUGAAAUUUUUGCCGAUUUGAACUUGUAGAAAACAAAAAUUAUCCAUUUAGAAUUGGGUUAAAAGAAAUUACAGGUUUGAGAUUUGACUAUCAGGUAACAGUCAAAAUUUUUGUAAAGUGCGUCAAAUUUAAUUUGACGUUUGUUAAAUAAGCGGUAGACUGAAUAAAUUAGUA
rnacentral:lncRNA from 1 species